CCUAUUCCCUAUAUAGUGGCACCCUAUGCCCUAUAUAGUGGCACCCUGUUCCUUAUUUUCCCACAUUCUCUAUUCCCCUAUAAUGCCAAUAGGGUCCCAUUUGGGACGCACAGUUUGACUGGUUAAAUAUGGACGGUUUCCUUUAGUUGGUAAUUUAGGCGUCAGGGAUGCCCAUUUUCACCUUCUAACUCUGUUCUUCAAAGGGGUGAGUGUUGUGGAUGUUUAUUUAUAUAUAUAUAUAUAUAUAUAUAUGCCAUUUCUGCUGGUUAUAUGUUUUUCUUUACAGAUGCUAUUGUUGUUAAUGAAUCCAAUGCUAUAAGCUUUUUCACACUGCAGUGAUCUUAGCCCCAGGCUAAGACUGACCCUGGACCAGUUUAUCCUGUCUUCACGGUUCACACAAGCUUUUAGUGAUGACUUGUUUAAACCUCGCUGUCCGCCUGCCUGGGGGGGAAUAAACUGUUUCUCUUUUGAAAUGCGAUCUCGCGCCCUGUACAGAGAAUUCUGUGCAAGAGACGAGACAUCAACGUUUCUGAUCCAGGCGAAAUCAUGCAACAAUAUUUUAUUGUCAUGGGAUAGCCAUAAUCCAAGUACAUGUCUAAUGUGAAAACAGAGGAAAGAGCUUGAUGCCCUUCCAGCUGUAGAGUUUGUGGCUUCGGUUGGCUAGCUCAGUGAGAAGAAGUUAGCCAGCCGGCAGAGCAACCAAUUUUAUGAUUUAUUUGUAUUAUUAUUUUUAUUAGCCAUAGAAACCAAAUGUUUUUGCAUAGAUGAACGUAUUGUUUUUAUUUAUUUUUAGUUUUCGUCCUCUGAUAGAUGAAAUAGUAUAAAUGUAUUUAUUAAAACGGCAGAACGCAUCACAAGCGUAUGUAAGUUAAGUGAAUGUGCAGCUUUUGUGAUUGGACAGUAAAGAUUCUAUGCGUUGUUCUAAAAUCUCCCAUAGCCCAGGCCUGACGAGGCUCUUAGCCCUGGGCUAAGGUUGGUGUGAAUAUUUGCUUAGGCCUGGGCUAAAAAUCUCCCAUAGCCCAGGCCUGACGAGGCUCUUAGCCCUGGGCUAAGGUUGGUGUGAAUAUUCGCUUAGGCCUGGGCUAAAAUCUCCCAUAGCCCAGGCCUGACGAGGCUCUUAGCCCUGGGCUAAGGUUGGUGUGAAUAUUUGCUUAGGCCUGGGCUAAAAUCUCCCAUAGCCCAGGCCUGACGAGGCUCUUAGCCCUGGGCUAAGGUUGGUGUGAAUAUUUGCUUAGCCCUGGGCUAAAAUCUCCCAUAGCCCAGGCCUGACGAGGCUCUUAGCCCCGAGUUAAGGUGCAGUGUGAAUGCAUCUUUUCUAUGUGAAAGUUGGAACAAGUGUGUGUUCUUUCAAUCACAAAAUCUCCUUUUGUCAUUAAAGAUUUUUUUUUUCUCUCAACUAUCUCAGUCAUUGUUUCUCCUCUUUUUUGCCUUGUUCUGUCUGUUUCUAUAUAUUGUUAUUCUGCCUCCUCACUGAUACAAUAUUUUUUUAAAGUAUUUAAAAAAAGGCUCUUCCUAAGUUUCCUGUACGUUUCUAGCUAUGACAUGACAAGAAGUGUUAUAAGGCAGUAUUAGUAAAGCCACAUUACUACCGGAGGUGUUUUAUAAGGCUUUGUUUAUAACGUGUGUUCAGUACAAAAUAUAAUCCAAC
ensembl:lncRNA